UCGACUAAAACAUCUGAAAAAGUGACUAAAGUGUCGAAAAAGACAACCAAAACAUUGAAAAAAAAGAUUGAAAUUUUGACCCAGAAAAACAAAAAGUUGCAUGGUCAACCGCAAGACAACACAAGGAUUAACCUAAUCUUCCUUUUUAACUUAAUCUCACUUUACUUCUACGUGACGUUUUUAUUUCUUACUGCAGCUAUGUUACUUUAUAUAUUUAUAUACUUAUUGAUUUGCUCUUUUCUUACUCUUAUUUUACCUUGAAUUUGACUGUGAGCAAAUGCAACUAAACAAUUUCCCUACGGGGAUCAAUAAAGUAAUCUGAUUCAGAUUGUGCCCAUUGUAAAAACAAAAUGUUUGUUAUGUAUGUACAUAGGGGCGUGAGGGUUUGAGUACACACUUACCGAGCCCUUUCCGUGAGUCUGCAUCGAUGCAGACUUCACCAAAGGGAAUUACCCACAGUUCAAAGCAUUGUGACGUUUACCGCGGAGACCAUAGGGAAAUCCGGAAAUUGCAAAAGGUAAACAACAGCACGACACACGACCACAGAACUGACCAACCUGUUGUCCAGCUUGAAAACAAGAGCCGUCUCCUGUGCCUUG